UCAAAAAAAAAAAAAAAAAAAAAAAAAAAAAAAAAAAAAA
rnacentral:ribozyme from 13 species